rnacentral:rRNA from 1 species
CCGGCGACCGGCGCACGGGUGAGUAACGCGUAUGCAACCUGCCCGUUUCAGCGGGAUAACCCGGAGAAAUCCGGCCUAAUACCGCAUGUGGCCGAGGGGAGGCAUCUUCUUUCGGCCAAAGGAGGCGACUCCGGAGACGGAUGGGCAUGCGUGACAUUAGCUAGUUGGCGGGGCAACGGCCCACCAAGGCGACGAUGUCUAGGGGUUCUGAGAGGAAGGUCCCCCACACUGGUACUGAAACACGGACCAGACUCCUACGGGAGGCAGCAG